rnacentral:lncRNA from 10 species
CUGCAAUCGAUCAAUCAAUCAAUGAGUACAUAAAUGCAUAAGCCAAUGAAUGAAUACGUGAAUGAAUAGAUUAAUAAAUGAAUGAAGAAGAAUCACGGCAGAACUCCUAACCCCUAGCACGCCUGCCUAGGGGAACAGGAAUAAGUCAGGAAAGAAACACUCUUCACUUCUGUGAGUUUUCUAAGAGCAGCAAACGGCGGCUGCUCACUUAGAGAACCUAUGGUCUUUCCUGGUUUUAGAGGUCAGGGAAGCAGCUGCUAGCAGCAGAGACUCAAAUCAAAGGGGAGUCCCACAAACGUUUUGAAGGCUGACAUCAGAAGGAGCACGCACCAAGGGAAAUUUCC